CCGUCAACAUGAGGAUGAAUUAAAGGGUUCAGAAACACAGUCAGCAGAAGCACGGAGAGAGGCUGUUCUUCCCCUUUUGUUUCCUUGUUGUGAAGAAAUUGGUCUGAGCCUUGAUGUUGGGUCAAAACAAAGUCUAGAUCCAGGUUUGUUGACAAAGGGUGUGAUGUUAGAAUUGGUACACUUCACCAGAAUUCUGACUGCAUCCUACAGCCCUAUUGUUCUGGGUGUGUUGGAGCACAAUUUUGAACUCGAUGUCAGUAGUCGACAGGCAAAAAGUCGAGUUUGGUUCAAGAUAUCACACCUGCUGAAAAGAAGAAAGCGAUUUCUCACCACUGGUAGCAAAAUGACCCCGGAGUUUAAAAAUGAGAGGUUUUCGUUCCAGACAAAUCCCUUCAAGAGAACUACUGGAUCACCACUGUCCAAUGUGGAAGGCCCACAGUAUCAGCUUAAGGAAGUGACAAAAAGAAGGCAGUCUGAUUUAAAAAGUAAACAGGAAAAGACGGCUCUGUCAACAACAGGUGAAAGGGGAAACAAAAGGUGCAGAAGAGAACAGUCUAAAGAAAUGGAGACCAACACACUCUCUCCUAACACUAUGUAUACCGGUCAAAUAACAAAGGAAGAUCAUUGUUACACUUGUCCUCUAGGAGAGUCUGAUCUAGACUCAGACACUGGCAAUAAAUGUGACAUGGAACAAGAGGAAAUGAGAGCAGAGAUCAACUACACUUGUCCUCUAGGAGAGUCUGAUCUAGACUCAGACGCUGGCAAUAAAUGUGACAUGGAACAAGAGGAAAUGAGAGCAGAGAUCAACUACACUUGUCCUCUAGGAGAGUCUGAUCUAGACUCAGACACUGGCAAUACAUGUGACAUGGAACAAGAGGAAAUGGGAACUGAGAACAACAUGUGGAAGUUGCGCGCUAAUUGUGUAAAACAAAUCCUCUCCUCACUAAACAAAGAGUUGGGUCCAUCUAAGGAAUUUUGCAUUGAAUUCAAUGUUGGAUUUGGCCCAAAGCAAAACAUCAGUAUUGACUCUUUGCCUAAUUAUCUGCUUGAAGUUGCUAAAUUUGCCUUAGCAAUGAAUUCUUCCCGGCAGGAUUUCAUCACAGAGAUUCUUGAGUACAACUUUGAUAUCUGCCUGCAGAGUAAAUGGCAAAAGAAUAUUUUCACUUCUGAAAUUUUGAAUAGAGUAAGAAAGCUGAGAAGAUGUGAAGGCGCAGUCAAAAUCUCAAAAGAGGUCUCUGAACUUCCUGGUCCCAUGCCAUCAAUAAAUAUGAUGAAUCACACUGUGGACAGUGUAAAACAUGAACUCAGCAGAAUACUGAGAAUGGAGGGGUGUGAUGUUGCUCCUGUGUGUCCUCCUCAUUCACAUGCUGAAACUACAGAACAUAUUUCAGCCAAGAGUGUGGAUCAUUAUCCCUUCUGCGAGGAAAUAGGUCUGAAGCUACAUGUCAACAAACAUCAACAAAACAAAAAACUGGAUAUCGACAAACUGACCAAUGGAGCAAUGAAUGAAGUGACAAACUUUGCAGAAAAGUUGUGUGGAACAUUUGAGCAGAUUUGUCUCGACAUUCUCGGACACAACUUUAAUCUUGAUUUGCAAAGUGGAGAUUCUGACCUUGCCAGAAGUAUUGUUGCACAAAUUCCUGCUGUAAUGGCGCAAAUAAAUCUAGUAACCUGUGCACAAGUCGGUAAGGGAGUAAAGAUCACUGGAAAAGAAUUCUCAACAAUGAUAAAACUGGAUUGCCAGAAAAACCCAAAUUCUGAUAUAUGUGAUGUUGGUUCUUCCCAGGCUGCGAUCAUAGACCAAGAUGUAGGCAGUUCUGCUGACACUAAACACCAAAAUGAGCUCAAUUUAAAGCUGUGGUGUUUCCGUGCCAAUUAUAUUCAGGAAAUCCUCUCGGUACCUCAUGAAGAACAUUGCCCACUUUAUUCUUACACCAGAUGCAAGAAAUUAGGCAUUAAUUUUAAUGUAGGAUCUGGAGUAAAACAAAAACUUGAUCCCAAAUCACUGACCAAUGGCAUUAUGGUUGAAUUGAACACUUUUGCCACAGCACUAUCUUCCCAAAAGCAUGUCAUCACAGAGAUACUGGACUAUAAUUUUCAUCUCGACUUCGACAAUGAGGUAUAUCGCAGUGCCUUUGCACAGCAAAUGAUGGAUAAAGUUAGAGUAUCGCAUGCGAAGAAAAGAUACAGAGUUCCUAGAAUGAAAAUGCGUUUUAAACUCCCUGACAUUAAGUGCAUACAACAACUUGCAUAUAUGGACAAAACUGCAUAUUGCCCCAAAUGCUAUCAAGACAGAAGUCAGAAACUUCGCCAGGAUUACUCUGACCCUGGUCACAUGCAUCACCCCCGUCUGCAUACAAUGGUUGACACAGUCUCUGCUGAUGCAAACUGCACAGCACGAAAGCCUGCAAAGGAUCCGUCCUCUAGCUUCUCAGCAAUAGAGAAGACUAUAAUGGACAGCUACCCUGGCUGCAAGAAAAUAGGUUUGAGCCUGUUUGUGGACAAAGACCAACCAAAACAUAAACUUGACACUUGUGUAUUGUCCCAUGAGAUUAUGUGGGAAGUGGCUAGUUUUGCCAAAACAUUUUGUGGAACAAAAUGUAAGAUCAUUCAUGAGGUCCUAGAACACAACUUUAACCUCGGCAUGCAGAGGUCAGAUAUUGCACAGUUGUUUCGCAAAGCAGCAUCACUAAAGGAUGGCGGCCUUACCUGGUUCAGUGAAGUUUUUGUUAUUUCGCCAAUUUCUCACAGACCACUUGGAUAUGUAGGUAAAGUGGCACGGGAAGCUGCCAAACAGAGUGUAUGGAAGGAAUCCAUCAAAAACAGAAAGCUGGCACUGCAAAUGAAGAAGCAAAGAGCCACACUACCAAGUGAUAAUAUAAAUGUCGUAAAAGAAUCAGAGACAAAUCAUGACUGUAAAGUAAUGAAAAGAGCUUAUCCCUUAUGCACAGAGAUGGGUUUGGAUCUUGACGUGACAUCUAAAACGGGAGAGAAAGAAAAACUGGAGUUGAAGCUAUUGACAAGAGCUGUAGUAUGGGAGAUGCAUACAUUUGCAAGGAAGAAACCCGGAAAGUUUUUGCCACACAUGGUCUAUGACAUCCUUGACUAUAACUUUGAUCUUAGCUCACAGAAUCACAGGUGCUGGGAAUUUUCCAAGGCUACAACAUCCAAAAUCCAAUCCAUGAUCAGGGGUUAUCAUAAACUGCCACAUAAAGUAGACAAGGUCUUCAAAUUGCCAUUUGACUUUGUUUCCAAGUCUUCACAAAGGAUUGCAAAGGAGAUGCAAAAUAAGAAAUGUACAACGAAUGAGGGUCAUUUUGUUCGCCAAGUGAAAUACCGUUCAGGUGUCAAUCGAGUCUAUUUUCUCGACGGUUACAAAACUAAGGGAGCUUGCUUCCAUGAUGAGGACACACCGUUCCCUACAGAUCCUGGGACGAUGGUGCAGAUGGAUGGGAAUCAAGUGAAUGUUGGUUGUGGCAGUCAUUUCCAGGGAAACCUACAGAUUAAAGAGGAGUACGAUCCAUCUAAUGGCAAUGUAAAACCAGAACCGGACACUGAGGAAAAACAUUGUGUUGAUUACAAAACUAAGAAGGAAGCUUGCUUCCAUGGUGAGGACACACCGUUCCCUACAGAUCCUGUGACGAUAGUGCAGAUGGAUGGGAAUGAAGUGAAUGUUGAUUACAAAACUAAGAAGGAAGCUUGGUUCCAUGAUCAGGACACACCGUUCCCUACAGAUCCUGUGACGAUAGUGCAGAUGGAUGGGAAUGAAGUGAAUGUUGGUUGUGGCAGUCCUUUCCAGGGAAACCUACAGAUUAAAGAGGAGGAGUACGAUCCAUCUAAUGGCAAUGUAAAACCAGAACCGGACACUGAGGAAAAAUAUAGUCCUCUUCAUGAUGAUGUUGAAACGGAGUCAAACACUGAGGAAUUUGUGUAUAUAGUCCCAGUUGACACAGCAGCAUUCCAUGAAUACUUAUGGUAACUAUAGGUCAGGGCAAUGAGAGCACAUUGAGCAAAGAAUAGCAGGACAAUGAGCCCGUUAACUCGCACUAUUAUGGAGUUCUCAGAAAGUGAAGUGGGCUUCUAACAGGAAUGAGAUCUUUUAACGUUCUAAAUUGUAGUUGUGUUCUACACUAAACAUGCUGGUAGUUGCCUUGUUGCUAUGCUUUGUAUUUCAUGUCGAGGGAGAAUAUAGUUGAUGAUUUAUUUUAUAAAUACUUCUGGAAUGUUUACUUUAAAAUGCUCACUGUUUAACUCCUAGUCAGGUAAUGGAAGAUUCAUAUACCCGAAUAAAAUGUUGCAAUGCAUAGGGCUGACUGAAAAUUUCAUGUGCCACCUUUGGCGAUUUGUAAAAUAUUUGUUUUUUGUUUUCUUCUAUAGUCAGCUUUUGGUAAUUUCUCAUGAGGAUAUUUUGACACUGAACUUUACUUGGUGGAUAGCAGAUUAUUGUCAUUUAGGACAUUCUGGACUGUUUUUAGUGCUUGUUCUUCGAUAUUAGUGCCUUUUCUGACCUCACGCGGUCAUAGUUUUGUAUUUAUAUUUUUAUAUUUUGCUUGAUUAAAAUGAAAAGAUUUUGUAUAUUACAAACACUGUGUACAUUUCUUGAAGCUGUGAUAUAAAUUGGUAAAGAUGAGUGUGUCAGUACUUUACUCGUAUUUUAUAUAAUACAGAUAAACACUAGAAAGGAAAAUGAUCUGGAUGUUGAUACUCUUCUCUAUUGUUCCUUGCCAUUUUGGUACAUGUUAUAUAAAAUUUGCGCUUUCUGUCUACUUCUGUGUGUUCAGUGUGGUGCAGAUAAAUCUCUGAUCUUUCAUAUACGCAUCACUGCUUUAAGAGUAUUUAACACCAACUGUCAUAUCUUAAAUUGUCACCCAUCCUCAACUCAAACAAAAUGACAGGGGCAGUAACGUUAUGGCAGUUAACUUGUAGAUGUAAUGCUCAAAGUGAGCUGUUGGCUGUGCUCCACACCAGCAGUGUUACAUAGGCCAGAUAGGAGGAAAAAAGGAUAUGAUGCAGAGUUGGCUUAAUAAAAUUAUACGGUUAAACCCCAAAUCGGCUUUGAUUACAAAAUGAUGUACAACUUUGACUUUAGCCCUUUAAAUACACAUAUGCAUCUCAGUAAGUGGUGUGUGAAUGAAUCAGUCAUUUUACUUUGACUCUGUCCAAUUGCCUAUACAAAUCAUUAACACACACAACCAGAGCACUGAAAUCAG
rnacentral:lncRNA from 1 species